rnacentral:rRNA from 1 species
AUGAUCCAUCAUGACAAGAUUAUUUCUAACAAUCACCUCCCUAAUCUUGUCAUCCUAACUCGCCAAUCGUCGAUGUGGAUCACCCGCAGCAUCUUGGCGUGGACGACGAUGUCGCAGUGCCAAUCACCACUAACCAUCUUGCCAUGGCCGACGCCAUCACAAUGCCCGCCACUGCACCAACUUGCCGCACGUGGCUAUCCUCCUCUUAACUUGGACAGCUCCAUUGCGGCGCCGAUCACCACACCAUCAUCACCUCACGUCAUCGCACCGCAGCGUCCCACCGGCGGCAUUGCGCUGCCGCCGGCCAUCACCUUGCGCCGAUGUCCUCCACCUCACAUGGAGUCCACUGCGUCACCGCCGUCGCAGCCAUUGCCUCCGCCCACCGCCACGCCGGCCACAGCCGCCGGCACUGUUGUCGCCGCCACGGAUCAACAAGGCUCUGAUGCCAAUUGUUGGCGCCGCCUCUUCUCGCAGCGCCGCCACGCCGGCCACAGCCGCCGGCACUGUUGUCGCCGCCACGGAUCAACAAGGCUCUGA